UACGGAGGGGGCUAGCGUUGUUCGGAAUUACUGGGCGUAAAGCGCGCGUAGGCGGCUUUGUAAGUUAGAGGUGAAAGCCUGGAGCUCAACUCCAGAACUGCCUUUAAGACUGCAUCGCUAGAAUCGUGGAGAGGUGAGUGGAAUUCCGAGUGUAGAGGUGAAAUUCGUAGAUAUUCGGAAGAACACCAGUGGCGAAGGCGACUCACUGGACACGUAUUGACGCUGAGGUGCGAAGGCGUGGGGAGCAAACAGG
rnacentral:rRNA from 1 species